CAGCAGCCGCGGGAAUACGAAGGGGGCUAGCGUUGCUCGGAAUGACUGGGCGUAAAGGGCGCGUAGGCGGCAUGUACAGUCAGACGUGAAAUUCCUGGGCUUAACCUGGGGGCUGCGUUUGAUACGUGCAGGCUAGAGUGGGGAAGAGGGUUGUGGAAUUCCCAGUGUAGAGGUGAAAUUCGUAGAUAUUGGGAAGAACACCGGUGGCGAAGGCGGCAACCUGGUCCUUGACUGACGCUGAGGCGCGAAAGCGUGGGGAGCAAACAGGAUUAGAUACCCCUGUAGUCCCUGUCUCUUAUAC
rnacentral:rRNA from 1 species